rnacentral:rRNA from 1 species
GAUGAACGCUGGCGGCGUGCCUAACACAUGCAAGUCGAACGGAGUCACGCCUUUAAGACCUUCGGGUCAAAAGGGGGAAGCGUGAGAGGCGGACGGGUGAGUAACACGUGGGAGACCUGGCUCACAGAGGGGGAUAACAGAGAGAAAUGUAUGAUAAUACCGAAUACGCGGUCACUGCGGCAUGGCCGGUGGUGCAGAGAGAUUCACAAUGAGAUGGACCCGCGUCGGAUUAGCCAGUUGGCAGGGUAAGAGCCUCCCACAGCGACGAUCAGUAGCCGAUGUGUGAGGAUGAACGCCCACAUCGGCACUGAGACGCGGCCCAGACUCCUACGGGAUGCAGCAGUGGGUGAUAUUGCACAGUGGGGUGAGCGCUGAUGCUGCGACGCCGGGUGAGCUAUGAAGUAUUGCAGUAUGUAAUGCUCUAGUAGCUGUGAAGAUCUUGACAGUACCUGAACAAGAAGCCCCGGCUAACUACGUG